rnacentral:rRNA from 1 species
ACGGAGGGUGCAAGCGUUAAUCGGAAUCACUGGGCGUAAAGCGCACGUAGGCGGCUUGGUAAGUCAGGGGUGAAAUCCCACAGCCCAACUGUGGAACUGCCUUUGAUACUGUCAGGCUUGAGUACCGGAGAGGGUGGCGGAAUUCCAGGUGUAGGAGUGAAAUCCGUAGAUAUCUGGAGGAACACCGGUGGCGAAGGCGGCCACCUGGACGGUAACUGACGCUGAGGUGCGAAAGCGUGGGUAGCAAACAG